rnacentral:lncRNA from 1 species
CCACGUAGUUCUCCACCGGGAGGUCAUCUUUCUGGUCAUCAGAACUCCUUGUGUCCUGGUUGUGAGAACACCAAAUAGUAACCACUAAGAGUGCCCUGUGUCCUGGGUGCCGGGUCAGGCACUCUCCCUGGGAUCUCUGACUGGAUCCUUACGUCGAGUCUCUAAGCUCAGGGGACAGCAACACUCACAGGCACAGCCCUCCCUGUUACCCCUGGACCACAUCUCAGUGACCUCAUGAAGAGCCAAGACCAAAGCCCAGAGUCACAGACACCCUGGACUCACAGCCUCACAGUGGUCAGUGCCUGGAGUAGGGGCUUCUAGCCCUCAGGGCAGAGCCUGCUCCUGCCCAGCCAUGGCACCCACUGGGGCAGCCAGGCCUCUCCUUCCUGGGCCCUCCUCACCACUUCUACUCACAUGGCUGCCUGAGGGGUUCAUGUUGGCUCGAGCAGGCUGCGUCUCCACACCGGUGGGUUUCUUCCCCGAAGUGCCCUGCCAGAAACAUCGUCAGUCGGCUCACUACCCUCUCCACAGCCCACAGUCCAUUGGUACUGCCGUUAAACAAUCAUCAAAAGAACCCCGAUGAGAGCCUCCAUGACUGCUUCUCACCCUUGAACUUUUCACGGCUGCACAACCAGAGCUGUGUGGAUGCUGCUGCUAAGUUCUGCUACCAGCAUGAGGUAGAGUCUGGUGCUGG